UGUUCAAUUUUUUUUUUUCGUUUUUUU
rnacentral:sRNA from 1 species